AAGUGGUUCUAAAACUAUGCACACAAAGGGUCGAUGGAUAUACAUACUACAUAUAAGGAAACUAUUGCUCAUGCUACUCAUCUGAUGGUGUAACACUCAGCAAAUACACACCAAUACUGUACCUUAGGGUUUCUCUCAUAGGCUGUGGAAUGAGACCAUGAAAGGUCAUCCCAGAAUGGCUAGUAAAUCCAGUCCAGCACUCCAUUUAAAACUAUAAGUGCCAGUCCAUUACAGGAACAAAGGCCAGGGUCAGAAUACUUAGGUCAGACACAAAUGAGCGAGUUAAAUCCGAGAAACUUGCAGCGUGUCAGUGUAAGGUCCCGUUCUGACCUCCACUGCUCUGACAGCAUGUCAGUGUAAUUUAGUAGAUUCCAGGACUCUCAGGGUCACAGCAUUAUAAAUCAAAAUGCAUUAUAAUGCAAGGUCAGAACGGGACCUCACACUAACACAGGCUGCAAGUUUGUCGCAUUGAACUCGCUUGUGUGUGUCUGGCCUUAGGGUAUGUUCAUGGGGUGGAUGUGCAGAAAAUCUGGAGCGUUUUUAUGGUACCAGCAAAGUGAAUAAGCUUUUAGCAAUUCUCAUCCAUUGAAAUUGACCCGCAGUGCCAAUUCUACAUAUAAAAAUUAUUUUUUUUAUAUAUGUUGGCAUGCAAAGUGUGCACAAAACAUAUGGCAACAAAUGGAAUUACAGAAAUAUUGAUAAAAAAAUACAAAAAUAAAAAUCUAAUUACUGUCUUAUUACAGUUCCAUACAACAUAUGCAUAAGACUUAAUGUGAAGGUCAAUUUUGUUCUGUUAAUCAAGAGGUGCAAAAUUCUUUGUUGACUUUUUAUAAUAUCAGCCGUUUGAACGCGUGCUUACCGCUCCAUUCAACGCGACUGAACUGCCACACAUAGCUGAGUAAAAGCACUCAUCUAUCUCCAGCAGUCCCAUGAUGUUAAAUGGAGUGGUGGACAUACAUGCAUGUCCGCUACUCCAUUAGUGAUUGUCAGAGGCUCCAGCAGUCUGGCUCAUGCCGAUUGGACACAGGUCUUGGGCCAACCCUUUUAAAAGGGGUUGUAAUGAUAAUUAAAAAUCUUGGACAAGCUAUUUAGUAGCCUGAAAUAAAAUAAAUAAAUAAAUGAUGCUCUACUCAUCCUCUUAAUCGAUCCCUGCGGCACUGGUCCAGCUCUCCUGUCGCUUGUUUACAAGCUGCAGCAGUGACCUGUUGGAAUACAGCAUGUGACCACUCCAGUCAAUCACUGUCCUCAAAGGUCUAAUGCGGAGAACAACGAUUGCCUGCUGCAGACACGAUCCGCACAUGUUACCAACACUGUUCUGUGUAGGUGUAUGCCACAUGACCACAGUGAUUGGCUGCAGCAGACACAUGGCAUACAUGUCACCAACACUGUUCUGUGUAGGUGUACGCCACAUGACCACAGUGAUUGGUUGCAGCAGACACAUGACGUACAUGUCACCAACACUGUUCUGUGUAGGUGUACGCCACAUGACCACAGUGAUUGGCUGCAGUAGACACAUGGCAUACAUGUCACCAACACUGUUCUGUGUAGGUGUACGCCACAUGACCACAGUGAUUGGCUGCAGCAGACACAUGGCAUACAUGUCACCAACACUGUUCUGUGUAGGUGUACGCCACAUGACCACAGUGAUUGGUUGCAGCAGACACAUGACGUACAUGUCACCAACACUGUUCUGUGUAGGUGUACGCCACAUGACCACAGUGAUUGGCUGCAGUAGACACAUGGCAUACAUGUCACCAACACUGUUCUGUGUAGGUGUACGCCACAUGACCACAGUGAUUGGCUGCAGUAGACACAUGGCAUACAUGUCACCAACACUGUUCUGUGUAGGUGCACGCCACAUGACCACAGUGAUUGGCUGCAGUAGACACAUGGCAUACAUGUCACCAACACUGUUCUGUGUAGGUGUACGCCACAUGACCACAGUGAUUGGUUGCAGCAGACACAUGACGUACAUACCGGCACAUCA